GGUAACACUGAAUGGAGGACCGAACCGACUUACGUUGAAAAGUGAGCGGAUGAACUGAGGGUAGCGGAGAAAUUCCAAUCGAACCUGGAGAUAGCUGGUUCUCUCCGAAAUAGCUUUAGGGCUAGCCUCAAGUGAUGAUUAUUGGAGGUAGAGCACUGUUUGGACGAGGGGCCCCUCUCGGGUUACCGAAUUCAGACAAACUCCGAAUGCCAAUUAAUUUAACUUGGGAGUCAGAACAUGGGUGAUAAGGUCCGUGUUCGAAAGGGAAACAGCCCAGACCACCAGCUAAGGUCCCAAAAUAUAUGUUAAGUGGAAAAGGAUGUGGCGUUGCCCAGACAACUAGGAUGUUGGCUUAGAAGCAGCCAUCAUUUAAAGAGUGCGUAAUAGCUCACUAGUCGAGUGACACUGCGCCGAAAAUGUACCGGGGCUAAACAUAUUACCGAAGCUGUGGAUUGUCCUUUGGACAAUGGUAGGAGAGCGUUCUAAGGGCGUUGAAGCAUGAUCGUAAGGACAUGUGGAGCGCUUAGAAGUGAGAAUGCCGGUGUGAGUAGCGAAAGACGGGUGAGAAUCCCGUCCACCGAUUGACUAAGGUUUCCAGAGGAAGGCUCGUCCGCUCUGGGUUAGUCGGGUCCUAAGCUGAGGCCGACAGGCGUAGGCGAUGGAUAACAGGUUGAUAUUCCUGUACCACCUAUAAUCGUUUUAAU
rnacentral:rRNA from 1 species